rnacentral:rRNA from 1 species
UAAGGAAUAUUGGUCAAUGGACGCAAGUCUGAACCAGCCAUGCCGCGUGAAGGAUUAAGGUCCUCUGGAUUGUAAACUUCUUUUAUCUGGGACGAAAAAAGGCGAUUCUUCGUCACUUGACGGUACCAGAUGAAUAAGCACCGGCUAACUCCGUGCCAGCAGCCGCGGUAAUACGGAGGGUGCAAGCGUUAUCCGGAUUCACUGGGUUUAAAGGGUGCGUAGGCGGGCAGGUAAGUCAGUGGUGAAAUCCUAGAGCUUAACUCUAGAACUGCCAUCGAUACUAUCUGUCUUGAAUAUUGUGGAGGUAAGCGGAAUAUGUCAUGUAGCGGUGAAAUGCUUAGAUAUGACAUAGAACACCUAUUGCGAAGGCAGCUUACUACGCAUAUAUUGACGCUGAGGCACGAAAGCGUGGGGAUCAAACAGGAUUAGAUACCCUGGUAGUCCACGCCCUAAACGAUGAUUACUCGACAUUUGUGAUACACUAUAAGUGUCUGAGCGAAAGCAUUAAGUAAUCCACCUGGGAAGUACGACCGCAAGGUUGAAACUCAAAGGAA